rnacentral:rRNA from 1 species
GACGAACGCUGGCGGCGUGCUUAACACAUGCAAGUCGAACGGAAAGGCCCUGCUUUUGUGGGGUGCUCGCGUGGCGAACGGGUGAGUAACACGUGAGUAACCUGCCCUUGAGUUUGGGAUAACUUCAGGAAACUGGGGCUAAUACCGGAUAGGAGCUCCUGCUGCAUGGGGGGGGUUGGAAAGUUUAGGCGGAAGUGGGUGGAUUCUCGGGUUAUCAGCUGGUUGGGUGGGUAGUGGCUUAGCCAGGCUUUGACGGGUGGUCCGCCUGGGAGGGUGACCGGCCACAUUGGGACUGAGAGACGGCCCAGACUCCUACGGGAGGCAGCAGUGGGGAAUAUUGCACAGUGGGCGGAAGCCUGAUGCAGCAACGCCGCGUGCGGGAUGACGGCCUUCGGGUUGUAAACCGCUUUCGCCUGUGACGAAGCGUGAGUGACGGUAAUGGGUAAAGAAGCACCGGCUAACUACGUG